rnacentral:sRNA from 1 species
AUUCCUUAUUCUGAUUCUUCAUCAUUAGCCCAUAUUACACAAAUUGUUUAUUCUCCAAAGUCCUAAAGCAUUUACGUGUCCAUAUGAGUGUGCUAGCUUCAGAGUUUCGUAACAUGUUCUUGCUAUAAACUACACAAAACUAGUAAUAACUACACUUUUGCUAUGCAUGGAAAGGGUAACACCCUACGUUACAUAAUUAUAGUAAUAACUACACUUAUCCCAAACUUAACUUUAUUUUGUACAUCUUCAGGAACCAACAUUAUCUUUUUAAAACACCAAUAACAGCUAAGCAUUGUUUAUUAAAACCUAGCAUUUUCGAAGCCGUGCAAGUCGCCAACUUUAUUCAACGAUUUCUUCAUCCUAGCCAUUUUAGCCAGCUUCUCAGCGGCUCUCCAAGCCGAUGUCGGCGUCAACACUUCGCCUCCGUCAUCCACCAACCUUACCUCUCUCUCGCUCUCUCCACUCCGCCCCGUCCCCACCGUCUCCCGGUGCUGUCUUCUCCUCUGAAGCUCUGCAAGCUCAGCGUCCAAGCUGUGCACGUACUCCUCGGCAGAGCUGAACUGCACUAGAAGCGCACGAGCCGAAGCAAGCAAAUGAUGAGCGCUCAAAAACUCUUUGUGUUUCGCCAUCCUUCUUGACUCGGCUACGGCUCGGCUGGUUAUAAACACAUUCCUCAACCGCUCAAGCCUGCCGCCGCAGGGAAAAGAAUUCUUGGGCGGCACCACCGUAAAUGGGUGUUCUGCACUGUACACGAAUUUUUGAGAUGCUGGGUCUUUGUUGAAACACUGCACUGUCAACACGUGGUGGUUCCCCAAUGAUGACGUUGGCACCCUGACCUCCACCAACAACUCCUUCUCUUCUUCGCCGUAUAAAUCACCAAGCCUAGCCGAGUUUACGUUUAGCGCGGUGGGUCCCCCGCUGCAUGAAUAAACGGCUCGAAUUUCAGCCGGCGCAGAGAAGCCAAGCCGAAUUCUUAAAUCCUGCACCGCCACGCUUAAUGUUCUGUUAAUGUAUUGGGUAAAAUCAUCCUCAAACGGUUCGGUUGUUAAACCGGUCGUUUUUAUGUCGAACCCAAACGAGUGAACCGGAACUUCAACACAAUCGAACCCGAUAGAGGACACGUAGCUCAAGCUUCUCCGUUGAUUAUUGCUCAUGCUGUUGUGAUCACCGUUGGAUAGAAUUAAAAUCCUCGCUAGAGGAUUUCUCUCCCUGCGAUCUUCGAGAAUUUUCCCCGCUUUCUUGAUCGCUUCUUCACCAACACCGGAUCCUUGGCCACACACGACCCCGUCCACCACGCGCCGAGCCGUGCGUUGUCCCUGAGCCGUCAUUCUGCGAAGAGGUAACAACCGCUUCGAAUCAGCCGACGAAGCCACGACGGCAAGCCGGUCAGCAUCCCCGACAGAGGAUACCACCAGUCGCAUCACGCGCUUUAACACGUUAAGCUUCGCGCCGCUCAUACCGUUGCCAACGUCAAGCACCGCCACCAGAUCCAUCGCCUGCCGUCUCCGCAGCGGCGGCGACGGCGCCGGAGCCUUGACUCGUAAAACCAAAGCACGAGUUUCAAAGUUUGGGGAAACUGAUAUAAUGGCGCACUCGUGCAUGAGCUUGACUCGAACAGUUUUCGACUCAGCGUUGUGUCGCAACGAGGAUUGAGGAUAUGGAUGGACGGAAAAGCCAGGGAAGACUGAUACAUCGUCGUUUUCAUCCUCAUCCUCGUGCGAGCUUUCAUCCGCUUCAGGAAUUGGAACGAUUUGCGUGGAGCACGUGAGAGAAGUUGGUAGAGGCUCGUCGUCGUCGUAGGAAGCUACCGAUUGGGAGAAAGGAGGAGCGAGUGGUUUCUGGUUUGGGGUUUGAACGGUGCGAAGGACGGCGUCGUUUUGGUGGAGCGGGACGUCGUUCCACGUGGCAUGACAGACGGGGCAGACGUGGGAGCGUGCAUGGGAAACUACGCAAGGAAAAUGAAACGCGUGACCGCACUCAGCAGUGUAAAUGGCAGUUCCCUGUCCCGUCUUCACGCUAUUCGAACAGAUUCCGCAAUUACUCUGAAAUCUCAAAGUAAGAGUAAUUAUUGUUAGAAAUGAAUAGGAGAAAUUAUUGUUAGAUAGGAAAAGGAGAACAGCGGACGAGAAAUAGAAGAAAGUAGCUUACUCUGAAUUUGAAGGUGUUUUUGAAGAGGGAGAGGGGAGAAGAAGGAGGGUGGUGGUGCAGUGACGGCGAGGAGAGGAAGCUGAAUCUGGCGCAGGUUCCAGGAGAAGGAGAGGAGCUUUGGGUGGCGCGUUUGGAGUGUAGUGUGGAUUCUGGGUCGCUAGUGCAAAAGGCUCUUCUCCAAGCGGUUCCCAUGUUUAUGCGAGAUCCAAGGUGCUUCUCUAGGUAAAACAUAAUGACUUGGUCUUGUCGUUGCGUC